ensembl:lncRNA
AAACACCCCAGUGCGGCAGGCGGUGGAGCUGAUGAGAAGACAUGUGGUGAAGUAGGCGGAAAAUCAUACCACAAGGGCUCCUCAGCCCACGAGGACACAUUCGACUGUUGGAAAUCAGCCGGCUAUCUCCAGGUGGCCAGCGAGGGUGUGGCCGCUCCACAAAUAAGGAAAACCGGGAUAAGAGGUUGGAGGCAACUGAGGUGGAGAUGGCGGUUCAGAGCCCCAAUGUCCUCAGGACAGUGUUCCAUGACGGCCAAGUUUCUUCUCUUCCAGCAGGUGGCAGCAGGUGAGUAAAGAGAAGCACCGGGCUGGUUUGAG